rnacentral:rRNA from 1 species
UGCAAGUCGAGGGGUAGAGGAAGCUUGCUUCCUUGAGACCGGCGCACGGGUGCGUAACGCGUAUGCAAUCUGCCUUGUACUGAGGGAUAGCCCAGAGAAAUUUGGAUUAAUACCUCAUAGCAUUAUGAAAUCGCAUGGUUUUAUAAUUAAAGUUCCAACGGUACAAGAUGAGCAUGCGUCCCAUUAGUUAGUUGGUAAGGUAACGGCUUACCAAGACGAUGAUGGGUAGGGGUCCUGAGAGGGAGAUCCCCCACACUGGUACUGAGACACGGACCAGACUCCUACGGGAGGCAGCAGUGAGGAAUAUUGGUCAAUGGACGCAAGUCUGAACCAGCCAUGCCGCGUGCAGGAUGAAGCAUCUAUGGUGUGUAAACUGCUUUUGUACGGGAAGAAACACUCCUACGUGUAGGAACUUGACGGUACCGUAAGAAUAAGGAUCGGCUAACUCCGUGCCAGCAGCCGCGGUAAUACGGAGGAUCCAAGCGUUAUCCGGAAUCAUUGGGUUUAAAGGGUCCGUAGGCGGCUUUAUAAGUCAGUGGUGAAAGCCCAUCGCUUAACGAUGGAACGGCCAUUGAUACUGUAGAGCUUGAAUUACUUGGAAGUAACUAGAAUAUGUAGUGUAGCGGUGAAAUGCUUAGAUAUUACAUGGAAUACCAAUUGCGAAGGCAGGUUACUACAAGUGGAUUGACGCUGAUGGACGAAAGCGUGGGGAGCGAACAGGAUUAGAUACCCUGGUAGUCCACGCCGUAAACGAUGGAUACUAGCUGUUCGGAGCAAUCUGAGUGGCUAAGCGUGGCUAAGCGAAAGUGAUAAGUAUCCCACCUGGGGAGUACGCACGCAAGUGUGAAACUCAAAGGAAUUGACGGGGGCCCGCACAAGCGGAGGAGCAUGUGGUUUAAUUCGAUGAUACGCGAGGAACCUUACCAGGGCUUAAAUGGGAGACGACAGGACUGGAAACAGUUUUUUCUUCGGACGUCUUUCAAGGUGCUGCAUGGUUGUCGUCAGCUCGUGCCGUGAGGUGUCAGGUUAAGUCCUAUAACGAGCGCAACCCCUAUUGUUAGUUGCCAUCGGGUCAUGCCGGGAACUCUAACAAGACUGCCGGUGCAAACCGUGAGGAAGGUGGGGAUGACGUCAAAUCAUCACGGCCCUUACGUCCUGGGCUACACACGUGCUACAAUGGACGGUACAGAGAGCAGCCACUGCGCGAGCAGGAGCGAAUCUUCAAAGCCGUUCUCAGUUCGGAUCGGAGUCUGCAACUCGACUCCGUGAAGCUGGAUUCGCUAGUAAUCGCAUAUCAGCCAUGAUGCGGUGAAUACGUUCCCGG